GACGAACGCUGGCGGCGUGCUUAACACAUGCAAGUCGAACGCAGUGGCGAACGGGUGAGUAACUCGUAAUCAACCUGCCCUUCAGCGGGGGAGAAGAGUUGGAAACGACUGCUAAUACCGCAUACUGAAGGAGGGGCUUGCGUCGGUUUAGCUAGUUGGAGGGGUACCGGCCCACCAAGGCGAUGAUCAGUAGGCGGUCUGGGAGGAGGAACGGACAAAUUGGGACUGAGAAACGGGCCAGACUCCUACGGGAGGCAGCAGUGGGGGAUCUUCCGCAAUGGAAGGAAGGUUGACGGGGGAACGCCGCGUGGGUGAUGACGGCCUUCGGGUUGUAAAGCUCUGUUAGUCGGGACGCGGUACCUGAAUAGAAAGCCACGGCUAACUACGUGCCAGCAGCCGCGGUAAUAC
rnacentral:rRNA from 1 species